rnacentral:rRNA from 1 species
UCGAACGGGCUGUCGGGGCAACCCGGCAGUCAGUGGCGAACGGGUGAGUAAUGCAUCGGAACGUGUCCCGUAGUGGGGGAUAACCCGGCGAAAGCCGGACUAAUACCGCAUAUGCUCUACGGAGGAAAGCGGGGGACCCGAAAGGGCCUCGUGCUAUGGGAGCGGCCGAUGUCCGAUUAGCUUGUUGGUGGGGUAAUGGCCUACCAAGGCGACGAUCGGUAGCUGGUCUGAGAGGAUGAUCAGCCACACUGGGACUGAGACACGGCCCAGACUCCUACGGGAGGCAGCAGUGGGGAAUUUUGGACAAUGGGGGCAACCCUGAUCCAGCCAUGCCGCGUGCGGGAAGAAGGCCUUCGGGUUGUAAACCGCUUUUAGCCGGAAAGAAAAGGCACAGGCCAAUACCCUGUGUUCUUGACGGUACCGGCGGAAUAAGCACCGGCUAACUACGUGCCAGCAGCCGCGGUAAUACGUAGGGUGCGAGCGUUA